AUCCUGCAUGCCAGCAACCCCAGUCUCUCUAUGCGUGUCCAACCUCUCCAGCAUCCCAGGCAGCACAGUAGCUGUUGGAUUUACCUAAACGUGCCAAAACGCCACGCGUCCUCAUACCGAGCAGCACGCAAUCGCCACGGACUUAUAUUUUUUUUUUCACGGGUCCGCGAAUCAUCCCUUGAUUAAAUAAAUACGUGGACCAGUCUAGACCCCAACAGACAAGCUGUCAAACACUGUAUGGGAAUUGCGGGAGGGCGAACGAAAAAAAAAGACCUCAGGACCUUGUGACAUAACACGGAGAACGGUGAAAUUUGUCAAUCACGCAGCGAAAAGCACCGGUCGUUUGAAGCUACCGAUACGGGAGAGAGACAAUUUUGAAAAAAAAUUUCAAAAAGAGAGAGAGAGACUAUACGCGGGAAUUUCCUUCGUCUUCUGCUUACAGGCGAACAUUGAACGAAAUUUUAGGGACUCGAUAUCAACGGGGCAUCUGAUACAGGGUCGUUUUUACAAAGUGCAAUAAGGAUACGGAAGGCCGAAGGUCCGUAAGGAUUCUUAUGAUCUAAUACGGUGUCUGUUAUUUUUUUUUUUCAAAUUCCGAGGAUCAAGUUCGGUUUUGAUCCUUGCGUGUGUGAGACUGUAACUAAUACAUAUAUAGAAUAGGACUGUGAUUUUGUUUGUUCUGUGACGAGGAUCCUUGUUCAGUGUUGUUUUAAUUGCCAGUGGAAAAGGAGCUUAGCCGUCGGCCGUCGGGAGCAAUUGUGACCGGAAGUGUCGAAAGGCCUGAAGAUUUUGCCUUCGCAGCAGUUGGGCGCAGCGGUCGCUCCAUGGCCGGGCGCCACCGGCCUCCUAGCCUCCGUCACGGCUGACGAUAUGGCGCACAAGGGUCACAGCGGGGUCAAUCAACUGGGUGGCGUCUUCGUCGGCGGUCGACCGCUUCCUGACUCGACGAGACAGAAGAUUGUCGAACUGGCCCAUUCGGGGGCCCGGCCCUGCGACAUCUCGAGGAUCCUUCAGGUCAGCAACGGCUGCGUCUCCAAGAUUCUGGGCAGCAGGUACUACGAGACGGGGUCGAUAAGACCCAGGGCCAUUGGCGGUAGCAAACCACGGGUUGCUACUGCUGAGGUCGUCAGUAAGAUAUCCCUAUACAAGAGCGAGUGCCCUUCGAUAUUCGCGUGGGAGAUAAGGGAUCGUUUGCUCCAGGAAGGAGUCUGUACGAACGACAACAUACCGAGUGUAUCCUCGAUCAACAGGGUGCUAAGGAAUCUUGCUGCUCAAAAGGAACAGCGACAGCAGCAACAGCAACAAGGCGUCGGUGGUGUCGGCGUCGGUGCCGGUAGUCCUGCCGAGAGCGUCUACGACAAGCUCAGGCUGUUAAAUGGUCAAACUACUGGCUGGCCAAGACCCAAUCCUUGGUAUCCGUCCGGAGCGGGAAGCCCAUUUCCGUCUCUACAGCCCAGCCUGAGUCCCAGCCAUUGUACAGCACUGCCACCAGACCCGGCGGACAUUUUGCACGCGAAGAAGGUGGCUGAACUUGAAGGUGGCGCCCAUUCGGACGAGACGAACAGCGGGGGCGACAACAGUAACGCCGGUAGCGUUUCCGGCGGCGCGGACGACGAUCAGGCCAGGUUGCGUCUCAAGCGAAAACUCCAGCGAAAUCGCACGAGCUUCAGUAACGAGCAGAUCGACGCCCUGGAGAAAGAAUUCGAGAGGACUCAUUAUCCGGAUGUCUUUGCCAGAGAGAGACUAGCCGGAAAGAUUGGCCUACCGGAAGCCCGGAUACAGGUAUGGUUUUCGAAUCGGCGUGCGAAGUGGCGACGGGAGGAGAAAUUGCGAACCCAGAGGAGGGACAGUUCUCAGCAGCAUACUGGUGGCGUCAGUCUUAUUGGAGGUCAUCCAACGCCUCCGCCACCUUCUGGUAUUCUUGGAGGUCAGCCACCGCCGCAGGCGCCACCAUCGCCCCCAAGAAUUCAUCAUGGGUUCGCGCCCACGGCUGUAUACCCAGGUAUACCAAGUAUGCCGGAUUCGUACAGUCCCAUGACGUCCAUGCCGAGCUUCACGAUGUCCGGAAGUAGUCAGCAGACCCAGCAUACUACAAGCAUGUCCUCCCUGUCAUCAGGAGGCGGUAUGGGUCCUAUGGGCAUGACCGUAGGUAUGACAGUAGGUCCCAGUCCUGGUGCCUGCCUUCAACAACGUGACAACGGCUAUUCCUGCGGGGUAGCAAGACCUCCGAGCUACGAGCCACUUCAUCUAGGGUACGGGGCCCGACCUACUUGCAGUCCCACUCAGCCCUAUCAUACCGCGGGCCUUAACCAGUACAACCAGAACACCAGCUCGACCGGUGAGUGUCUACCGCACUCACUGCACUCGCUGCUUGCUCUUUAGCCGCUGGACAAUGGCUACUACGGAUACUAUUGACCCACUGCAGACUUAUCGCCGGUUUGAUAUCUCCUGGAGUCAGCGUCCCGAUAGCGGUACCAGGACAACCAGCACCAGAUAUGGCGGCCCAAUAUUGGAGCCCGAGGUUACAGUGACCGUGGUGGUCGUCCACGUCGACAUCCACAUCCUAGGUUCAUCAGUAUCGUUCUUCUUUCUCCUUGUCUUCGUUGUCGACCUCUUCUUCGCCGGUGGCUGGACCCCGAAGAAGCAUCAAGAGUAAUCCUGGUCGAUACUCCUCGCGGUUGUACCACU